CUCCGCCGGCUCGCCUCCACCUCCGCGCCGCGCGCCCCCCGCCUCGCCCAGCCCAAGGUGCAGGGGUUCGCCCGGGCUCGCCGGUCCUACCCGGCCGCGUUCGCCGCCUCCGCCAUGUCGACGUCGUCGGGGGCCAAGGAGGCGCCGGCCAACAACCCGGGCCUGCAGGCCGAGGUCGACCCCGCCACCAAGGGCUACUUCAUGCAGCAGACAUAUCAGCAAUCUUCGCAAUCGUGCAGACAAAAGCAAGCGGUUGCCUCCAAUUUACAAGGUUUCAAAAACUGUAUAUGCAUCCCCUAGCCGUG